rnacentral:rRNA from 1 species
GGGGGAAUAUUGGGCAAUGGGCGAAAGCCUGACCCAGCAACGCCGCGUGAAGGAAGAAGGUUUUCGGAUCGUAAACUUCUAUCCUUGGUGAAGAUAAUGACGGUAGCCAAGAAGGAAGCCCCGGCUAACUACGUGCCAGCAGCCGCGGUAAUACGUAGGGGGCAAGCGUUGUCCGGAAUGAUUGGGCGUAAAGGGCGCGUAGGCGGCCAACUAAGUCUGGAGUGAAAGUCCUGCUUUUAAGGUGGGAAUUGCUUUGGAAACUGGAUGGCUUGAGUGCAGGAGAGGAUAGUGGAAUUCCUAGUGUAGCGGUGGAAUGCGUAGAUAUUAGGAGGAACAUCAGUGGCGAAGGCGACUAUCUGGACAGCAACUGACACUGAGGCACGAAAGCGUGGGGA